rnacentral:lncRNA from 1 species
UCUGAUAUCUCGGCGAUGUUGGACGGCAGGGAGUUCCAUUCGUUUAUGCACAUUUACUACAUUAAAAA